UACGUAGGUGGCAAGCGUUGUCCGGAAUUAUUGGGCGUAAAGAGCUCGUAGGCGGUCUGUCACGUCGGCUGUGAAAUCCCGAGGCUCAACCUCGGGUCUGCAGUCGAUACGGGCAAACUAGAGUAUUGCAGGGGAGACUGGAAUUCCUGGUGUAGCGGUGAAAUGCGCAGAUAUCAGGAGGAACACCGAUGGCGAAGGCAGUUCUCUGGGCCGUAACUGACGCUGAGGAGCGAAAGCGUGGGGAGCGAACAGG
rnacentral:rRNA from 1 species